GAUGAACGCUGGCGGCGUGCCUAAUACAUGCAAGUCGAGCGAACAGACGAGGAGCUUGCUCCUCUGACGUUAGCGGCGGACGGGUGAGUAACACGUGGAUAACCUACCUAUAAGACUGGGAUAACUUCGGGAAACCGGAGCUAAUACCGGAUAAUAUAUUGAACCGCAUGGUUCAAUAGUGAAAGACGGUUUUGCUGUCACUUAUAGAUGGAUCCGCGCCGCAUUAGCUAGUUGGUAAGGUAACGGCUUACCAAGGCGACGAUGCGUAGCCGACCUGAGAGGGUGAUCGGCCACACUGGAACUGAGAAACGGUCCAGACUCCUACGGGAGGCAGCAGUAGGGAAGAUUCCGCAAUGGGCGAAAGCAUGACGGAGCAACGCCGCGUGAGUGAUGAAGGUCUUCGGAUCGUAAAACUCUGUUAUUAGGGAAGAACAAAUGUGUAAGUAACUAUGCACGUCUUGACGGUACCUAAUCAGAAAGCCACGGCUAACUACGUG
rnacentral:rRNA from 1 species